AGAGUUUGAUCAUGGCUCAGGAUGAACGCUAGCGGGAGGCCUAACACAUGCAAGCCGAGCGGUAGAGAUUCUUCGGAAUCUUGAGAGCGGCGUACGGGUGCGUAACACGUGUGCAACCUGCCUUUAUCUGGGAGAUAGCCUUUCGAAAGGAAGAUUAAUAUCCCAUAAUAUAUUGAUUGGCAUCGAUUGAUAUUGAAAGCUCCGGCGGAUAGAGAUGGGCACGCGCAAGAUUAGAUAGUUGGUGAGGUAACGGCUCACCAAGUCGAUGAUCUUUAGGGGGCCUGAGAGGGUGAUCCCCCACACUGGUACUGAGACACGGACCAGACUCCUACGGGAGGCAGCAGUGAGGAAUAUUGGACAAUGGGUGGAAGCCUGAUCCAGCCAUCCCGCGUGAAGGAAUAAGGGCCUAUGGCUUGUAAACUUCUUUUGUACAGGGAUAAACCUACCCUCGUGAGGGUAGCUGAAGGUACUGUACGAAUAAGCACCGGCUAACUCCGUGCCAGCAGCCGCGGUAAUACGGAGGGUGCAAGCGUUAUCCGGAUUUAUUGGGUUUAAAGGGUCCGUAGGCGGGCUUAUAAGUCAGUGGUGAAAGCCGGCAGCUUAACUGUCGAACUGCCAUUGAUACUGUAAGUCUUGAGUAUAUCUGAGGUAGCUGGAAUAAGUAGUGUAGCGGUGAAAUGCAUAGAUAUUACUUAGAACACCAAUUGCGAAGGCAGGUUACCAAGUUAUAACUGACGCUGAUGGACGAAAGCGUGGGGAGCGAACAGGAUUAGAUACCCCGGUAGUCC
rnacentral:rRNA from 1 species